rnacentral:rRNA from 1 species
GACGAACGCUGGCGGCGUGCCUAAUACAUGCAAGUAGAACGCUGAAGCUUGGUGCUUGCACCGAGCGGAUGAUUUGCGAACGGGUGAGUAACGCGUAGGUAACCUGCCUGGUAGCGGGGGAUAACUAUUGGAAACGAUAGCUAAUACCGCAUAAGAGUAUAUGUUGCAUGACUUUUGCUUAAAAGGUGCAUUUGCAUCACUACCAUAUGGACCUGCGUUGUAUUAUCUAGUUGGUGGGGUAACGGCUCACCAAGGCGACGAUACAUACCCGACCUGAGAGGGUGAUCGGCCACACUGGGACUGAGACACGGCCCACACUCCUACGGGAGGCAGCAAUAGGGAAUCUUCGGCAAUGGACGGAAGUCUGACCGAGCAACGCCGCGUGAGUGAAGAAGGUUUUCAGAUCGUAAAGCUCUGUUGUAAGAGAAGAACGAGUGUGAGAGUGGAAAGUUCACACUGUGACGGUAUCUUACCAGAAAGGGACGGCUAACUACGUGCCCGCACCCGCGGUAAUACGUAUGUCCCGAGCGUUGUCCAGAUUUAUUGCGCGUAAAGCGAGCGCACGCGGAUAGAUAAGUCUGAAGUUAAAGGCUGUGGCUUAACCAUAAUACGCUUUGGAAACUGUUUAACUUGAGUGCAGAGGAGAGAGUGGAAUUCCAUGUGUAGCGGUGAAAUGCGUAGAUAUAUGGGAGGAACACCGGGUGGCGAAGCGGCUCUCUGGUCUUGUACUGACGCUGAGGCUCGAAGCGUGGAGAGCAAACAGG